GUGGAGACUAACUAUGAAAUGCUUACUGACAGAGACUUACCAACAAAGCGGCCGCGUAGCCUAGUGGUUAGAGUGUAGGGGCGGCAGCGUAGCCUAGUAGUUAGAGUGUAGGGGCGGCAGCGUGGCCUAGUGGAUAGAGUGUAGGGGCGGCAGGUAGCCUAGUGGUUAGAGUGGAGGGGCGGCAGGUAGCCUAGUGGUUAGAGUGGAGGGGCGGCAACGUAGCCUAGUGGUUAGAGUGUAGGGACAGGCAGGUAGCCUAUUGGUUAGAGUGGAGGGGCAGCAGCGUAGCCUAGUGGCUAGAGUGUAGGGGCGGCAGCGUAACCUAGUGGUUAGAGUGUAGGGGCGGCAGGUAGCCUAGUGGUUAGAGUGGAGGGGCGGCAGGUAGCCUAGUGGUUAGAGUGGAGGGGCGGCAGGGUAGCCUAGUGGUUAGAGUGUAGGGGCGGCAGCGUAGCCUAGUGGUUAGAGUGUAGGGGCGGCAGCGUAGCCUAGUGGUUAGAGUGUAGGGGCGGCAGGGUAGCCUAGUGGUUAGAGUGUAGGGGCGGCAGGGUAGCCUAGUGGUUAGAGUGUAGGGGUGGCAGCGUAGCCUAGUGGUUAGAGUGUAGGGACAGGCAGGUAGCCUAGUGGUUAGAGUGGAGGGGCGGCAGGUAGCCUAGUGGUUAGAGUGGUGGGGCGGCAGGUAGCCUAGUGGUUAGAGUGUAGGGGUG
ensembl:lncRNA